rfam:Salmo salar isolate Sally breed double haploid chromosome ssa11, whole genome shotgun sequence.
UGGCUCAGUUGGUAGAGCAUGGUGUUUGCAACACCAGAAUUGUGGGUUCGAUUCCCAU